UUGACAACCCUGGAGACUGAAGUCUUGUAGCCACAGAAAAGGUACAUAACAGGCAGUGCAAGUUUGCCCACACUUCUUCAUUGAGCCUUAGUCCUGUCCUUUAGGGAUAACAGCGUAGGUCUGUGCUGUGUAAUUGUUUGCCUCUUUGCAAGA
rnacentral:sRNA from 1 species